CAGCAGCCGCGGGAAUACGUAGGUGGCAAGCGUUGUCCGGAAUUAUUGGGCGUAAAGGGUGCGUAGGCGGUUUGACAAGUCUUAUGUGAAAUCUUCGGGCUCAACCCGAAGUCUGCAUAGGAAACUGUCGGGCUUGAGUAUGGGAGAGGUGAGUGGAAUUUCCGGUGUAGCGGUGAAAUGCGUAGAUAUCGGAAGGAACACCUGUGGCGAAAGCGGCUCACUGGACCAUAACUGACGCUGAUGCACGAAAGCUAGGGGAGCAAACAGGAUUAGAUACCCCAGUAGUCCCUGUCUCUUAUAC
rnacentral:rRNA from 1 species